rnacentral:rRNA from 1 species
UCGAACGAGAGUAGUGAUACUCGAGUGGCGGACGGGUGAGGAACACGUGGAUAACCAACCCUCGGCUGGGGAAUACCGCUCGGAAACGAGCGCUAAUACCGCAUAAGUUCGAGAGAAGAAAGCCUUCGGGCGGCGGAGGAUGGGUCUGCGUUCGAUUAGCUAGUAGGUGGGGUAAUGGCCUACCUAGGCGACGAUCGAUAGCUGGUCUGAGAGGAUGAUCAGCCACACUGGGAUUGAGAACGGCCCAGAUCCCUACGGGGAGCAGCAGUGAGGAAUCUUCGUCAAUGGGCGCAAGCCUGAACGAGCAACGCCGCGUGGAGGACGACGCAUUUCGGUGUGUAAACUCCUUUUCUGUGGGACGAGAACGGACGGUACCACAGGAAGAAGCAUCGGCUAACUACGUGCCAGCAGCCGCGGUAAUACGUAGGAUGCAAGCGUUGUCCGGAGUUACUGGGCGUAAAGCGUGUGCAGGCGGCUCUUUGCGUCGGUGGUGAAAUCUCCUGGCUUAACUGGGAGGGGGCCAUCGAUACGGGGGAGCUUGAGGGCUAGAGAGGGAAGUAGAACUCCCGGUGGACCAGUGAAAUGGGUAGAUAUCGGGAAGAAUACCUGAGGUGAAGACGGCUUCCUGGCUAGCACCUGACGCUCAUACACGAAAGCUUGGGGAGCAAACAGGAUUAGAUACCCUGGUAGUCCAAGCUGUAAACGAUGUCCACUAGGUGUGCGGGGUAUCGACCCCCCGCGUGCCGGAGCUAACGCACUAAGUGGACCGCCUG